rnacentral:rRNA from 1 species
CCCCCCAGUAGGGCAUAGCCCGGCGAAAGUCGGAUUAAUACCCUAUGUUUUUCCAAUGAGGACGAUCUGAGCUGGAACAAAGAUUUGUCGCUGGGGGAUGGGGAUGCGUCCGAUUAGGUUGUUGGCGGGGUAACGGCCCACCAAGCCCGCGAUCGGUAGGGGUUCUGGAGAGGAAGGUCCCCCACACUCGGUACUGAGACACGGACCAGACUCCUACGGGAGGCAGCAGUGAGGAAUAUUGGUCAAUGGGCGUAAGCCUGAACCAGCCAAGUAGCGUGCAGGACGACGGCCCUAUGGGUUGUAAACUGCUUUUAUGCGGGAUAAAGUGAGGUAUGUAUACCUUUUGUAGGUACCGCAUGAAUAAGGACCGGCUAAUUCCGUGCCAGCAGCGGC